rnacentral:rRNA from 1 species
UACGAGGGGGGCGAGCGUUGUUCGGAAUUACUGGGCGUAGAGCGUGCGCAGGCGGUUCGUUAUGUCCGAUGUGAAAGCCCCGAGCUCAACUUGGGAAUGGCAUUGGAAACUGGCGGGCUGGAGUGUGGCAGAGGGGGGUGGAAUUCCACGUGUAGCAGUGAAAUGCGUAGAGAUGUGGAGGAACACCGAUGGCGAAGGCAGCCCCCUGGGCCAACACUGACGCUCAGGCACGAAAGCGUGGGGAGCAAACAGG